CAUGACAACCUUCCAUAAACAUGUUGGGCGACUCAGAGACGGAAGAAAUCCGUCCGCAUGAGCACAAUGAGGCUGUGAUUUGUUGUACGCCAAGAAGCUGCUUUAUCACUUUAAUGUCAACCAACUGCGAUGAACAAAGAAGGUGGUUCCCCCUGCAGAGGUGUUGGAGGAUGUGGCCUACUAUAUUGUGGGUGGGGACGUUACGUUUAACAGAGAGAGAAACUUUCUGGUACAUUGGCAAUAGUCCUAGAAAGCCCGGCGCCAACAGUGUUUCCGUAUUGAGGUCCAACAGGUCAAGAAAAGUUUCAGGUUUUUCUGGUGGAAACUGCCUUUCUGUGACGGCUGAGGGGUUCUCUCCGCUUUCCUGCUUCCAGUGAGGAGUGCAGAGGCUGCCGACCGGCUACUGGCUUUGGAUGUCCACCUCAUCCUGUUGGUAGUGAGCAGGAAAAGAGCACAAUAACCUGGAAUACCACUGAACGAGCUCAGCAUUAUGCAAACACAGUUGUACUUGUCUGUUUCCUCUCAUCCACUGACCGGUUCCUGGAGAGACAUUUCAAAGCGGCACCAUAAUCACUUUGUGUGUCUGCUGCCGACACACAACAGCCUGCCAGGCCUGAACACGCAUGAUAAUGAUUGUUCGAUUAAGUUUUAUUCAUUUAGCUCCAGUAGUUGAUUCUCUGUUUUUCUAAUGGUUGCCUGCAACACUUCCUGUACGUCUGUGUGGAUUAUCAACGUAAGUCUCCAUGAGCUCUAAUCCACCCAGCGCCUCCAGAAUCUGGAGAGCAGCUUAUAUUGAAUGAGUGAUAUAGCAGUUUGUCAAAAACAGCUUUUCUCCUUAGAAAGGUAGAGAUGCUUACCGGUUUUAUUUUGGGCUACAUGGUGGAGAACUCUCUCGAAUGAUUGGAUGCGUACCUUCUCCAUAUGCCAUGUUACUUGCUUCAGAAAUGUUUUGAUAUUAAUCUUACCUUGCAAAAAGUGUUUGCUGCAAAUCUGCGAACACGCCAAAGGCUGCCAGUUCUUCUGACUUGUUACUGAAACAAUGCUACCGGCAUCAGUGCAGAGUUCACAUGUGGCAACUCCCCGAAGGUUGAACAUUUCUGAUUGCCUUUGGGUUGGCUCAGGCAACUGCAGGAGUUUUCAUCUUCUUCACAUCUCUGGUCCUCAGAGGUUGGUGUUUACAUGUAUUCCUGGUCUAAUGUCUCUGAACUAAUCUCUCAACAGAUCUGUGUUCCAGAAAUCCUUCUUUGUUGGUCUCCACAAACAUGGUGGGCCACAAAAGCACAUUGCUACGGUAGCCGUCUGUUCCAAGUGUCCCAGCAUAUUUAUGGAUGUUUAGUGGAAGGAAAAUGGAGAACAAAGUCCUCAAGAGUUUGGGAGAGAAUAACAAGAUGUGGACUGGAGUCGGGUUUUGCGGCUGAUGCCAGUCCAGGUAUUCCUGUGUCUGACCCGAACGCCAUCGAAAAUCUAUAAGGUUCCGUCAAGGAGU